rnacentral:rRNA from 1 species
GACGAACGCUGGCGGCGUGCUUAACACAUGCAAGUCGAACGGAGUGGCGAACGGGUGAGUAACACGUGGGGGAUCUGCCUUGCACUUCGGGGUAAGCUUGGGAAACUGGGUCUAAUACCGGAUAGUGCAAGAUGAGCUCGCGGCCUAUCUGCUUGUUGGUGGGGUAAUGGCCUACCGAGGCGUCGACGGGUAGGCGGCCUUUGAGGGUGUACGGCGACAUGGGGCCUGCGAUACGGACCAGACGCCUACGGUGGGCAGCAGGGGGGAAUAUUGCACAAUGGGCGGAAGCGUGAUGCAGAGACGCCGCGUGGGGGAUGAAGGCUUUCGGGUUGUAAACUCCGUUCGACAGGGACGCGGUACCUGUAGAAGAAGCACCGGCUAACUACGUGCCAGCAGCCGCGGUAAUAC